UUAAAUUGAAGAGUUUGAUCAUGGCUCAGAUUGAACGCUGGCGGCAGGCCUAACACAUGCAAGUCGAGCGGAAACGAGUUAUCUGAACCUUCGGGGAACGAUAACGGCGUCGAGCGGCGGACGGGUGAGUAAUGCCUAGG
rnacentral:rRNA from 1 species